ACUCCAGGGAAUAUUUUCGGCGGAGCAAUGCGACGUAAUGCAAGUCCGAAACCUAGAUAAUAUUUUUCUCUCCAUGGAGAAAUUGCUUUACAUGACAAGAAAAUAUGGCUGCGCUGUAAUCAUGGUUACGCAAGCACAAUAUGGUCGAGAGCCGUAUUAUGAGUUGCGAGUUUGGGAAUCAUUCUUGAAGCAACGCCCUAAUCUGAAAUGUGUGAGAGAGUUUCAGAAGCACGCACAUAAGGGGCAAACUAUAUAUGAACCGUUUUGCCACCACAUCCUUCUCAUUAGGUGAAUUGCACAAUACGCAUCCUAAAGCUGAGAACACCCUUUAAAUAAGUGCAAUAUCUUUUAUGGGGAAAUUGACACAGUGCAAUUUUAGUUCUUCCUCACAUAGCAAAUGAUGUACUCUAAAAAAAUUGAAGCUAUAUUGCGCUUAGCGCAGAUACGCUUUUGCUCUUUCAAAAUAAAAUUGUUUGUAUCAACAAAAUAAAUGAUAAGCCAGCAUGUCGGCUUGAACACGUUUCCAUGUA